UCUGUUGUUUAGUCUGCUCAGCAUCCUUUCCCCUUCUGCUAAAAAAAAAAACCCCGUUGCUUUCAGGAACUGCCUCUCCCUGUCAUGGUGGCCUGUGGGUCACAAGACCCAUGUCACCUCCGCUUCAAGUCCCCGACCGGUUGUACCCUGUGUUAGCCACACAAAUUGGGACCAGGACACCAGGAGAUCAAGGAAAUUCUGACUUGAUGAAUCGAGGAGCAGUUCAGUGCAGAGAAACGGUUCAGGUUGGCUCCUGCCACCAGAAGCCGGAAAUCUCACAGGGAGCCGCUGGUAUGGCUCAUUGGUUUUCAAGAGCACUUGGGCUGUGAUAUGGAGGUGUAAGUAUUUAGCCCGCGUGUAUAUAUGUGUGCCUGCUGCUUGUGGAAAGAAGCCACUGGAUCCCCUGGAACUGGAGCUAGAGAUGGUUCCUGAAGUCACUGUAACUGUAGUUACCUUACAAGAUUAGGCCCCUUGCCAUUUCACCAUGCGUGGGCUCACAAGGCCCCACUCUUCACUGAGGGACUAUGGGUAAUUAAUGGAUGCUGGGAAAGGGGUGCCAAUUUCUUUUGGUGGUGUAGCCAUAGCUAAGUUUCCCAUGUUCUGGUAAAUAACCCUCACCCUUAUACUUAUGUAAGCAACUCUAACUAAAUUUGGCAGGUCUCACACACACACACACACACACACACACACACACACACGGAAAGACUUCAAAGCAGGAGGAGACUGGCUGGGCAGAAGGGGUUCAGUGUGACAGGGAAGGGAAUGAGCGAUGGCCCUGCAUGCUCCAAGAAAGCCGAGAAAACCACGGAGGGGAAUGAGAGGGGUGGGGUGGUGUAGGGGAUGGUCAAAAUUCAGUGUUUUCGCGUAUGAAAUCGUCAAAGAACAGUUUUAAAAGAUCAUCCAGGAAAUAAAUAAAACUCUUGAAAUGAAAAACAGAAGUAGACAGGUGGUGGUGUGCACGUCUUUAGUCCCAGCACUCAGGGAGGCAGGGGCAGGCGGAUCUCUGUGAGUUCGAGGCCAGCCAGGCCUACACAGAGAAACCCUCCCUCAUAAAACCAACCAACCAAGCAAACAAACAAAACUAUAGGAAUCCAAAAGUCUGGAACAAAUGUCCACACUCGUCUUGGGUUUCUGUUGUUGUGAUACAGAACAUGGCCCACAUCAGCUUGAGGAGGAAAGGGUUUAUUUCAUCUUAUGCCUCCAGGUUCCACAUCGUCCCCGAGGGAAGUCAGGACAGGCACUUAAGGCAGGAACUGAAGAAGAGGCCAUGGAGGGAUGAUGCUUACUGGCUUGGUCCUCAUGGCUUGCUCCCCAUCCUCCUCUGACCUUCAUGUACACGCAAUGGUCCCACACUAAAUAAGGAAAUGGCAAAUGUGGUAAACAUGCAGUGUUUGCUUGUCUGCGCUUGGUUUGUCUUGUCAAGCAUAAUGAUUCCCAGUUCCACCCACUUUCCUGCAAAUGUCGUGAUAUUGUUUUUUCUUCUGGCUGAAUAGAAUUCCACUGUAUAUAAUUACACCACGUUUUCUUCAUCCUCACGAGGUAAUGGACACCUAAGCUGGCUCCCCUAUUGCCUUAUGUGAACUGUGCACCAGUAAAAUACGGAUGUGCAAGCGUCUCUGUGAUGAGCUGAUUGAGGACUCCUCUAGGAAAAAAAUACCCGGGAGGGGAGAGUUGGGUCAUGUGGCACCACGGACUGAAUUGAACCCAGGGCCACACAGUUGCUGGGAAGCACUCUCUUAUUUCAGAGCUACAGCGGCCACUCUGCUUUUACUUUACAAAAAUCAAAUAAAGUGUGCACAUACAAGUGUGUACACCUGUAUGUGUGUGCGUGUGUAUGUGUGCUUGCAUGUACUCAAGCCUGUGAAUGGGUGUUACAGGCACAUGUGUCAUGCUUAGCAAUUUUUUGUGAAUGUUGGGGAUUAGAACUCAGGUCCCCACUUUUGCACUGCAAAUAAGAGUACUUACUCACUGAGCCACCUCUCCAGCCCCCUGCUUUUAAAUCUUGGAACAGUGUCUAAGUUGCCCAGCCAGCCUUGAACCCACUCUGUUAAAAGAUCAAGCCUUGAACUCUUAACCUCCC